ACGGCUCAGUAACACGUGGCCAAACUACCCUCUGGAGCGCGACAACCUCGGGAAACUGAGGCUAAUCGUGCAUACCGCUCUCACGCUGGAAGUUGCGGAGAGCUCGAAACGCUCCGGCGCCAGAGGAUGUGGCUGCGGCCGAUUAGGUAGACGGUGGGGUAGCGGCCCACCGUGCCAGUAAUCGGUACGGGUUGUGAGAGCAAGAGCCCGGAGACGGUAUCUGAGACAAGAUACCGGGCCCUACGGGGCGCAGCAGGCGCGAAACCUUUACACUGCACGCCAGUGCGAUAAGGGGACUCCAAGUGCGAGGGCAUAGAGCCCUCGCUUUUCUGUACCGUAAGGUGGUACAAGAAUAAGUGCUGGGCAAGACCGGUGCCAGCCGCCGCGGUAAUACCGGCAGCACGAGUGAUGGCCGCUCUUAUUGGGCCUAAAGCGUCCGUAGCUGGCCGCGCAAGUCCAUCGGGAAAUCCGCACGCCUAACGUGCGGGCGUCCGGUGGAAACUGCGUGGCUUGGGACCGGAAGAUCCAGAGGGUACGUCCGGGGUAGGAGUGAAAUCCUGUAAUCCUGGACGGACCACCGGUGGCGAAAGCGCUCUGGAAAGACGGAUCCGACGGUGAGGGACGAAAGCUCGGGUCACGAACCGGAUUAGAUACCCGGGUAGUCCGAGCUGUAAACGAUGUCUGCUAGGUGUGCCACAGGCUACGAGCCUGUGGUGUGCCGUAGGGAAGCCGUGAAGCAGACCGCCUC
rnacentral:rRNA from 1 species